GGCCUGAUGGCACAGCGGUUAGUGCGCCUGCGAAAAUAAUCGUGGUUCAAUUCCUGGUGCAGGGUCCCUCGUUCGAUUCGGGGUCAGGUCA